AUUGAACGCUGGCGGCAGGCCUAACACAUGCACGUCGAGCGGAGCGGCGGACGGGUGAGUAAUGCCUAGGAAUCUGCCUGGUCGUGGGGGAUAACGACCGGAAACGGGCGCUAAUACCGCAUCCUAUCCGAUGAGCCUAGGUCGGAGUAGCUAGUUGGUGGUGUAAAGGCCUACCAGGGCGACGAUCCGUAACUGGUCUGAGAGGAUGAUCAGUCACACUGAAACUGAGACACGGUCCAGACUCCUACGGGAGGCAGCAGUGGGGAAUAUUGGACAAUGGGCGAAAGCCUGAUCCAGCCAUGCCGCGUGUGUGAAGAAGGUCUUCGGAUUGUAAAGCACUUUAAGUAGGGAGGCGUUACCAACAGAAUAAGCACCGGCUAACUUCGUGCCAGCAGCCGCGGUAAUUC
rnacentral:rRNA from 1 species